UACGGGGGGAGCAAACGUUGUUCGGAAUUACUGGGCGUAAAGAGUGCGUAGGCGGUUCUUUGUGUCUGCUGUGAAAGCCCCGGGCUUAACCUGGGAAUGGCAGUGGAAACUAGAGAACUUGAAUCUGGCAGAGGGGGGUGGAAUGCCACGUGUAGCAGUGAAAUGCGUAGAUAUGUGGCGGAACACCGAUGGCGAAGGCAGCCCCCUGGGCUGAGAUUGACGCUCAGGCACGAAAGCGUGGGGAGCAAACAGG
rnacentral:rRNA from 1 species